UUCCACACAAAGUAUCAGGCUGCGGCGUACCAUCUACAAACAAACAAGGAGAACACCCAGGCAGAGGUUGAAGUGCUCGAUUGCAAAGAUGGCAAGCUUUAGGUGAACUUGCCCUAUUGACCCUGUCUCUGCUUGCAAUGCCUUUAAGCAACGCUGAUGUAGUUGUACUAACAAAUGAACCUGGUCAAAUCCAAACCGAGGAACGGAAUGGGGAAGGACACACUCACCAACACACUCCUCAUAAAAUAUGGACGGAAGAGGGAAAGUUUGGGCUUCAAGGAUUUUUGUUCCAAGCAAGGAGAAGUUGGAGGGUUUUAACAAUCACUCUGUGGGAGGAACAUUUGGAAGCACAGAGACAGAUCCAAACGAAAACAGUGAGGAUGGACGGUAGUUCAGAAGAACAGACCUGACGGGGAAGCAAGGACAAGGUAAUUUCCUGUGGCUCCCCUUACAACUGUCCGAAUGGAACUAAUGGGAGAAGGCAUUAGAGGACAUAAACAAGAGCACAUCAGCCUGUCGGCUCGUCCACCACCAACGUCUCACUGUAGAGUACAGUACCCGUCCAUCUCCCCCGCCCGGCUCCGAGAGCGGUUUGCAGGAAAUGUCAGCCGGUGUGAUUG